GAUGAAGAACGCAGCGAAAUGCGAUAAGUAAUGUGAAUUGCAGAAUUCAGUGAAUCAUCGAAUCUUUGAACGCACAUUGCGCCCGUCAGUAUUCUGGUGGGCAUGCCUGUUCGAGCGUCAUUACGCCCCUCAAGUCCCCUGUGGACUUGGUGUUGGGGAUCGGCGAGGCUGGUUUUCCAGCACAGCCGUCCCUUAAAUUAAUUGGCGGUCUCGCCGUGGCCCUCCUCUGCGCAGUAGUAAAACACUCGCAACAGGAGCCCGGCGCGGUCCACUGCCGUAAAACCCCCCAACUUUUUAUAGUUGAUCUCGAAUCAGGUAGGACUACCCGCUGAACUUAAGCAUAUCAAUAAGCGGAGGA
rnacentral:misc_RNA from 1 species